rnacentral:rRNA from 1 species
CCUACGGGAGGCUGCAGUGGGGAAUAUUGGACAAUGGGGGAAACCCUGAUCCAGCGACGCCGCGUGAGUGAUGAAGUAUUUCGGUACGUAAAGCUCUAUCAGCAGGAAAGAAAAUGACGGUACCUGACUAAGAAGCCCCGGCUAACUACGUGCCAGCAGCCGCGGUAAUACGUAGGGGGCAAGCGUUAUACGGAGUUACUGGGUAGAAAGGGAGCGUAGACGGCAGGGCAAGUCCAGAGUGAAAUGCCGGGGCCCAACCCGGGAACUGCUCUGGAAACUGGGAAGCUGGAGUGCAGGAGAGGUAAGCGGAAUUCCUGGUGUAGCGGUGAAAUGCGUAGAUAUCAGGAGGAACACCGGCGGCGAAGGCGGCUUACUGGACUGUAACUGACGUUGAGGCUCGAAGGCGUGGGGAGCAAACAGGAUUAGAUACCCCAGUAGUC